SRBCCAACAGGGAUUGCCCUAGUAACGGCGAGUGAAGCGGCAACAGCUCAAAUUUGAAAUCUGGCGCAAGCCCGAGUUGUAAUUUGUAGAGGAUGCUUCUGGGUAGCGGCCGGUCUAAGUUCCUUGGAACAGGACGUCAUAGAGGGUGAGAAUCCCGUAUGUGACUGGUUGGCGCCCUCCACGUAGCUCCUUCGACGAGUCGAGUUGUUUGGGAAUGCAGCUCUAAAUGGGUGGUAAAUUUCAUCUAAAGCUAAAUACCGGCCAGAGACCGAUAGCGCACAAGUAGAGUGAUCGAAAGAUGAAAAGCCCUUUGGAAAGAGAGUUAAAAAGCACGUGAAAUUGUUGAAAGGGAAGCGCUU
rnacentral:rRNA from 1 species